CAAUUGGAAGUCAAUGAUAUCGGAGAGUCUGUAAGAUGAGUUAUAUCAGAAAUCAAUUGGAAAUAAUGAGGUGGGCACUUAGAUGUUCGUGAAAGGAUUGAACCAAAGCCCGUCUACUUGUGGAAUAUUCAACAUCAGUUUUCGUCUCUGUUAAUUCGUUUUGUCGUUUUCAAUUUUUUUAUCAUGAUGUAGGCCCUUCCCUUCCCUUCCCUGUGCUGAUUGCCGAUCAUUUCUCGUUGCCUACCAUGGCAACAUUUAUUGCUCUGUCGUGUGACAUUACUCCAACCAAAAACGGGCCAUUGCACUUUACUAAUUUA
rnacentral:misc_RNA from 1 species